rnacentral:rRNA from 1 species
GAUGAACGCUGGCGGCGUGCUUAACACAUGCAAGUCGAACGAUGAAGCUCAGCUUGCUGGGUGGAUUAGUGGCGAACGGGUGAGUAACACGUGAGUAACCUGCCCUUAACUCUGGGAUAAGCCUGGGAAACAAGGCCUAAUACCGGAUAGGAGCGCCUACCGCAUGGUGGGUGUUGGAAAGAUUUAGCGGUUUUGGAUGGACUCGCGGCCUAUCAGCUUGUCGGUGAGGUAUUGGCUCACCAAGGCGACGACGGGUAGCCGGCCUGUGAGGGUGACCGGCCACACUGGGACUGAGACACGGCCCAGACUCCUACGGGAGGCAGCAGUGGGGAAUAUUGCACAAUGGGCGAAAGCCUGAUGCAGCGACGCCGCGUGAGGGAUGACGGCCUUCGGGUUGUAAACCUCUUUCAGUAGGGAAGAAGCGAAAGUGACGGUACCUGCAGAAGAAGCACCGGCUAACUACGUG